rnacentral:rRNA from 1 species
UACGGAGGGGGCUAGCGUUGUUCGGAAUUACUGGGCGUAAAGCGCACGUAGGCGGAUUGGAAAGUUGGGGGUGAAAUCCCAGGGCUCAACCCUGGAACUGCCUCCAAAACUCCCAGUCUGGAGGUCGAGAGAGGCGAGUGGAAUUCCGAGUGUAGAGGUGAAAUUCGUAGAUAUUCGGAGGAACACCAGUGGCGAAGGCGGCUCGCUGGCUCGAUACUGACGCUGAGGUGCGAAAGCGUGGGGAGCAAACAGG